GCCAGGUGUGGUGGCGCAAGCCUGUAAUCCCAGCGGCUCAGGAGGCUGAGGCAGGAGGAUCGCACGUUCAAAGCCAGCCUCGGCAAUGGCAAGGCGCUAAGCAACUCAGUGAGACCCUGUCUCUA
rnacentral:sRNA from 1 species